GAGAGAGAGAGAGAGAGGUCACCCUUGUAUGAGGAGUCUACUGCCAUGGUAACAGCCUAGAUCCACUCUGAGGACAGAGCCCUGUGGCUAAUGUCCUCUCCUUGGGCCGCCUUUCACAACAUCCAGGACUGCUUCCAACACAGGCUCACAUGCUUUUUGGAGGACACAUUCCAGCCCCAGUGAUUGGCACCCAGAAUCUUCAUACUCAACAACAUUAUUGCAACAGACACAGUAAGGACUUUUCAGGGAGCUUUCUAAUAAUGUACCAGAGAAGACGUGGUGCUGUUGAGGCAUUGUGAUGGCUGUGUGAGAGGAUGCAGGAAGGUAGGCGUGCUUCACAAGGUCACCUUCUCAUUAAGGCGUCCAUGUGGUUGGAUUUGUGUUGCAGAAGCUCUCUGGAAGUGGAGUGUAGCAUGCGCUAGAGCUGGUAGCACUGACCGUGGCUAGGAUUUGACUGGUGGGUUGCAGGUGGGGUCCUAGCAAGCACCAGUAGGGAAAGGGAGUGAGCCAGCGAGCAGAGAGAGGUGGGAUGUCAACACAGGAUGUCAACCAGGAGCAGGUUGCCUUUGUGGGCCACUGGGGCUCAAGUCCCUCGGGGGACUCUGGGACCCCAGGGAACAUGCUCCAGAUGAUCUGGGAGGAAGCUUCGGGAUGGAGUGGUGGAGGGCCACCCCUGGAGCAGCUCCUGCAGCACAGAUGGCGUCAGCAGACACUCUCACCAUGUUGAACAGGAGCGCUGAACAGGAACAAGGACCUCUCAGGGCUGUGGCUUGUCUUGGUCUCCCCCUGCACUUCCACAGGUCUCAGGAAACUCUUGUCAACCUGCGAAAGAUGCCGAAAGUCCAUCAGCCUAAUCCAUGUGGCUUGCUGUCAAUUUCCUAAUUCUCUGCGGGCUCCAUGAUGGCCAGCGACCCAGAUGGCUAGUGCAGGAAGAGCCAGACCAUCCACUCAAGGCGUAUUUUGCUUCCACUUCCAAAAGAAAGCAGCCCCUCAUUACCACUAUUGAUUCCGUGAACAUGUCACUGAUGGUGACUACCUUCCUGACAAUCUGCCUAAUGAAUCCUGGAGGGAAACGACAAGCUUGUCAUUAACCUUUAGAACAAGCGAUGAUGUUAGAAUCAAAAUGGACCGUUUAUAAAAACUGCCUGUCUGUG